rnacentral:rRNA from 1 species
AUUGAACGCUGGCGGCAGGCCUAACACAUGCAAGUCGAGCGAGCGGCGGACGGGUGAGUCCUGUCUGGGAAACUGCCUGAUGGAGGGGGAUAACUACUGGAAACGGUAGCUAAUACCGCAUACCAUCGGAUGUGCCCCGAUGGGAUUAGCGAGUAGGUGGGGUACCGGGUUACCUAGGCGACGAUCCCUAGCUGGUCUGAGAGGAUGACCAGGCACACUGGAACUGAGACACGGUCCAGACUCCUACGGGAGGCAGCAGUGGGGAAUAUUUGACAAGGGGCGCAAGCCUGAUGCAGCCAUGCCGAGUGUAUGAAGAAGGCCUUCGGGUUGUAAAGUUCUGUCAGCUGGGAGGCGUUACCCGCAGAAGAAGCACCGGCUAACUCCGUGCCAGCAGCCGCGGUAAUUC